rnacentral:rRNA from 1 species
GCUCAGAUUGAACGCUGGCGGCAGGCCUAACACAUGCAAGUCGAGCGGAUGACGGGAGCUUGCUCCUUGAUUCAGCGGCGGACGGGUGAGUAAUGCCUAGGAAUCUGCCUGGUAGUGGGGGACAACGUUUCGAAAGGAACGCUAAUACCGCAUACGUCCUACGGGAGAAAGCAGGGGACCUUCGGGCCUUGCGCUAUCAGAUGAGCCUAGGUCGGAUUAGCUAGUUGGUGGGGUAAUGGCUCACCAAGGCGACGAUCCGUAACUGGUCUGAGAGGAUGAUCAGUCACACUGGAACUGAGACACGGUCCAGACUCCUACGGGAGGCAGCAGUGGGGAAUAUUGGACAAUGGGCGAAAGCCUGAUCCAGCCAUGCCGCGUGUGUGAAGAAGGUCUUCGGAUUGUAAAGCACUUUAAGUUGGGAGGAAGGGCAGUAAGYUAAUACCUUGCUGUUUUGACGUUACCGACAGAAUAAGCACCGGCUAACUCUGUGCCAGCAGCCGCGGUAAUACAGAGGGUGCAAGCGUUAAUCGGAAUUACUGGGCGUAAAGCGCGCGUAGGUGGUUUGUUAAGUUGGAUGUGAAAGCCCCGGGCUCAACCUGGGAACUGCAUCCAAAACUGGCAAGCUAGAGUACGGUAGAGGGUGGUGGAAUUUCCUGUGUAGCGGUGAAAUGCGUAGAUAUAGGAAGGAACACCAGUGGCGAAGGCGACCACCUGGACUGAUACUGACACU